GGCUCAGGACGAACGCUGGCGGCGUGCCUAACACAUGCAAGUCGAACGGGGUUGAGGAAGCUUGCUUCCUUAACUUAGUGGCGAACGGGUGAGUAACGCGUGAGGAACCUGCCUUUCAGUGGGGGACAACAGUUGGAAACGACUGCUAAUACCGCAUAACAUGUACGGAUCGCAUGGUCUGUACAUCAAAGCUUUAUGUGCUGAAAGAUGGCCUCGCGUCUGAUUAGCUAGUUGGUGGGGUAACGGCCCACCAAGGCGACGAUCAGUAGCCGGUCUGAGAGGAUGAACGGCCACAUUGGGACUGAGAUACGGCCCAGACUCCUACGGGAGGCAGCAGUGGGGAAUAUUGGGCAAUGGGGGAAACCCUGACCCAGCAACGCCGCGUGAAGGAAGAAGGCCUUCGGGUUGUAAACUUCUUUUACCAGGGACGAAGGACGUGACGGUACCUGGAGAAAAAGCAACGGCUAACUACGUGCCAGCAGCCGCGGUAAUACGUAGGUUGCAAGCGUUGUCCGGAUUUACUGGGUGUAAAGGGCGUGUAGGCGGAGAUGCACCUUGGGAGUGAAAUUCCCGGGGCUCAACCCCGGAACUGCCUUUUAAAAUUGCAUCCCCUUGAGUAUCCCGAGGGGCAAGGGAAUUCCUUAGUGUAGGCGGUAAAAUGCGUUGAUAUUGGGGGAAACACCAGGUGGGGAAGGCGGCUUGCUGGACGACAACUGACGCUGAGGCGCGAAAGGGUGGGGAGCAAACAGGAUUAGAUCCCCUGGUAGUCCACGCUGUAAACGAUGAAUACUAGGUGGUGGGGGGACUGAACCCCCUCCGUGCCGCAGUUAACACAAUAAGUAUUCCACCUGGGGAGUACGACCGCAAGGUUGAAACUCAAAGGAAUUGACGGGGGCCCGCACAAGCAGUGGAUUAUGUGGUUUAAUUCGACGCAACGCGAAGAACCUUACCAGGACUUGACAUCCAACUAACGAAGUAGAGAUACAUUAGGUGCCCUUCGGGGAAAGUUGAGACAGGUGGUGCAUGGUUGUCGUCAGCUCGUGUCGUGAGAUGUUGGGUUAAGUCCCGCAACGAGCGCAACCCCUAUUGUUAGUUGCUACGCAAGAGCACUCUAGCGAGACUGCCGUUGACAAAACGGAGGAAGGCGGGGACGACGUCAAAUCAUCAUGCCCCUUAUGUCCUGGGCUACACACGUAAUACAAUGGCCGUCAACAAAGGGAAGCAAUAUCGCGAGAUGGAGCAAAUCCCCAAAAACGGUCUCAGUUCGGAUUGCAGGCUGCAACUCGCCUGCAUGAAGCUGGAAUAAGUAGUAAUCGUGGAUCAGCAAGCCACGGUGAAUA
rnacentral:rRNA from 1 species